UCAGUUCUCUAAACAGGUUUCUUUCUGUUUCCAGUUUCCCUUGGGUUUCGUGAAGUUGGAGGGUUAAUUCGCAGCUGUAAAACCAGAUAUCGGAAAUAUUCCUCGUUUUGUUAGUUUGCCUUUCCACCUUUACGAUGGCCCAAAGCGCACUGCAGCCAGCCCUUGGUGCCUUGCGAAACUUUAUACAAGCAAUAGCUGCUACGUUUACAAGCGGAUCGGAAGGAAUUCAGAGCAUAAAUAAUUUCUUAGCAGCUGUAUUCCGAUUUAUGCAGAAUCUCUUCGGAAGCAUGCAACAAGCUUUCAGGUUUUUAUUUUUCCCACUUUCGCUGAUUAACAAAAGGGAGGUUAAUUUCGACGAUUAUUGAUAAUCACGA